rnacentral:rRNA from 1 species
GCCUGGCCCUAAAUCUUGAUGCUCGAUCUUACCGGAGCAUCCGCCCGAGAACUACGAGCACCAACGCUUAAAACUCUAAGGAGCUUGGCGGUGCCCCAAACCCACCUAGAGGAGCCUGUUCUGUAAUCGAUGAUCCACGAUAUACCUGACCAUUCCUUGCCAAGUCAGCCUAUAUACCGCCGUCGCCAGCCCACCCAGCAUGAAGGACCAACAGUGGACGCAAUAGCCUAACCCGCUAGUACGACAGGUCAAGGUAUAGCCUAUGGAAUGGAGGCAAUGGGCUACAUUUUCUAAAUUAGAACAUACGGCAAAGGGAUAUGAAACUGUCCCUGGAAGGAGGAUUUAGCAGUAAAGUGGGACAAUCGAGCCCUCUUUAAGCCGGCCCUGGAGCACGU